rnacentral:rRNA from 1 species
AGUGAACGCUGGCGGUAGGCCUAACACAUGCAAGUCGAACGGCAGCACAGUAAGAGCUUGCUCUUACGGGUGGCGAGUGGCGGACGGGUGAGGAAUACAUCGGAAUCUACUUUUUCGUGGGGGAUAACGUAGGGAAACUUACGCUAAUACCGCAUACGACCUACGGGUGAAAGCAGGGGAUCUUCGGACCUUGCGCGAUUGAAUGAGCCGAUGUCGGAUUAGCUAGUUGGCGGGGUAAAGGCCCACCAAGGCGACGAUGCGUAGCUGGUCUGAGAGGAUGAUCAGCCACACUGGAAGUGAGAGACGGUCCAGACUCCUACGGGAGGCAGCAGUGGGGAAUAUUGGACAAUGGGGGAAAGCCUGAUCCAGCGAUACCGCGUGGGUGAAGAAGGCCUUCGGGUUGUAAAGGCCUUUUGUUGGGAAAGACAAGCAGCAGGUUAAUACCCCGCUGUUCUGACGGUACCCAAGGAAUAAGCACCGGCUAACUUCGUG